AGUAUUAUGUGAAUAAAAAGAAAACAAAAAUCUAUAUUUAAAACAUUUUUUAAAUAGUAAACCAAUUUAUUUUGCGGGGUGGUUUUUGCUUCUUGUUCUACUCAAUAGUAAAUACAAUGUUCAUGAAGAAAAAUCACUUAUUGUAAAUAGGUUUGAGGGUAAAAAUUAUUUUGACUCUACAAAUAAGGGAAUCAUGGAGACAGAAAGUUAACUAGGAAUAUUAUUGCGUGUGGCGUGUGUCAUUUGUUUAUUGUUUUGAUUUUUUCGUCGAAGGGAUGAUGUUGUCCCGUUGGAUACUUCAUCCAGUUCAUCCAGCAUUCCAGCUUCCAGCAUAUCAGUCGUCACUCGUCAGUUCUCAAGUCUCAAGAGUUUUUGGGUUCUUCAUUAUCGUUUCUAGAAUGGUUAUAAAUAGAAGUAUCAGUUUUAAAAGCAUUGUCAUAUUUUAUUACUAAAGAGAUAGUGCCAGAUAGCAUGUUAUAUUUGGAUUUGUAAUUGUAGGAAUUUAUGUGGCAUGUCUUUUUUUUUAUUUCCAUUUUUUCAGGUUUCACAAUUGGAAUUUUAAAACAAACUGGUUACUUUGCAAUGGGCCUAAACACUGCUACAUUAACCUCGUCAAGGACCAGAGAGUAAAUCAUAUGCAUAUUACAGCACUGUCCAAAACUUACAACUACAGAAAUUGCAUAUGUGAUUCUACUUUCUAUCAAUAAUCAGACAGGGAGCAAUUCACAAGCGAUUCACAGACAUAUUUCUAGUUCAACUGCAGUGAAGCGAUUUGAAUAAUAAGUAAAACAAGACACUCAAAAAUAGACUUGCCAUAAUAGUGUUAGCAACAAAACAGUCAGUAGAUUGAUUUGUGUUAAGUGCUCCAAUGGAUUGAUGGAAACAUUGAUUGUCAUAAAGUGUAUUGAAAGAACUCUCGAAGGCCGGGGCGUGUUAAAAAAAAAAGGAAAUUCGGGAGCGGCGACCCUGGAAAAUAUGGGAUGCGUCACGAAUAAAAAAGCGCCUUGUCUUGGC
rnacentral:misc_RNA from 1 species